rnacentral:ncRNA from 1 species
CUCACUGCAGUAGUGAUCCUGCUCAGGAUGAGAGGAGCUGCAGGUUCAGACAUGGGGUUUCUGUGCUUGGCUGAGGAGGCAGUGGUGUGGAGCUACCAUCUGUAGAAUUGUGACUGAACGCCUCGAAGUCAGAAUUCCCUCUAAAAGGUGGGGAG